GAUGAACGCUGGCGGCGUGCCUAAUACAUGCCAGUCGAGCGAACAGAUGAGGAGCUUGCUCCUCUGACGUUAGCGGCGGACGGGUGAGUAACACGUGGAUAACCUACCUAUAAGACUGGGAUAGCUGCGGGAAACCGGAGCUAAUACCGGAUAAUAUAUUGAACCGCAUGGUUCAAUAGUGAAAGACGGUUUUGCUGUCACUUAUAGAUGGAUCCGCGCCGCAUUAGCUAGUUGGUAAGGUAACGGCUUACCAAGGCAACGAUGCGUAGCCGACCUGAGAGGGUGAUCGGCCACACUGGAACUGAGACACGGUCCAGACUCCUACGGGAGGCAGCAGUAGGGAAUCUUCCGCAAUGGGCGAAAGCCUGACGGAGCAACGCCGCGUGAGUGAUGAAGGUCUUCGGAUCGUAAAACUCUGUUAUUAGGGAAGAACAAAUGUGUAAGUAACUAUGCACGUCUUGACGGUACCUAAUCAGAAAGCCACGGCUAACUACGUG
rnacentral:rRNA from 1 species